rnacentral:rRNA from 1 species
UGAGGAAUAUUGGUCAAUGGGCGGAAGCCUGAACCAGCCAUCCCGCGUGAAGGAAGAAGGCCUUAUGGGUUGUAAACUUCUUUUCUGUUUGAAGAAUAAGCUUGUCGUGACAAGUGAUGCCGGUAGGACAGGAAUAAGUAUCGGCUAACUCCGUGCCAGCAGCCGCGGUAAUACGGAGGAUGCAAGCGUUAUCCGGAUUUAUUGGGUUUAAAGGGUGCGCAGGUGGUUUAAUAAGUCAGUGGUGAAAGUCUGCCGCUUAACGGUAGGAUUGCCAUUGAUACUGUUGGACUUGAAUAUGGAUGAGGUAGGCGGAAUGUGUAGUGUAGCGGUGAAAUGCUUAGAUAUUACACAGAACACCGAUUGCGAAGGCAGCUUACUAAUCCAUGAUUGACGCUGAGGCACGAAAGCGUGGGGAUCAAACGG